GACCCGAAACCCGGUGAUCUAGCCAUGGGCAGGUUGAAGGUUGGGUAACACUAACUGGAGGACCGAACCGACUAAUGUUGAAAAAUUAGCGGAUGACCUGUGGCUGGGGGUGAAAGGCCAAUCAAACCGGGAGAUAGCUGGUUCUCCCCGAAAGCUAUUUAGGUAGCGCCUCGUGAAUUCAUCUCCGGGGGUAGAGCACUGUUUCGGCUAGGGGGCCAUCCCGGCUUACCAACCCGAUGCAAACUGCGAAUACCGGAGAAUGUUAUCACGGGAGACACACGGCGGGUGCUAACGUCCGUCGUGAAGAGGGAAACAACCCAGACCGCCAGCUAAGGUCCCAAAGUCAUGGUUAAGUGGGAAACGAUGUGGGAAGGCCCAGACAGCCAGGAUGUUGGCUUAGAAGCAGCCAUCAUUUAAAGAAAGCGUAAUAGCUCACUGGUCGAGUCGGCCUGCGCGGAAGAUGUAACGGGGCUAAACCAUGCACCGAAGCUGCGGCAGCGACACUCAGGUGUUGUUGGGUAGGGGAGCGUUCUGUAAGCCUGUGAAGGUGGCCUGUGAGGGUUGCUGGAGGUAUCAGAAGUGCGAAUGCUGACAUAAGUAACGAUAAAGCGGGUGAAAAGCCCGCUCGCCGGAAGACCAAGGGUUCCUGUCCAACGUUAAUCGGGGCAGGGUGAGUCGACCCCUAAGGCGAGGCCGAAAGGCGUAGUCGAUGGGAAACGGGUUAAUAUUCCCGUACUUGGUGUUACUGCGAAGGGGGGACGGAGAAGGCUAUGUUGGCCGGGCGACGGUUGUCCCGGUUUAAGCGUGUAGGCUGGUUUUCCAGGCAAAUCCGGAAAAUCAAGGCUGAGGCGUGAUGACGAGGCACUACGGUGCUGAAGCAACAAAUGCCCUGCUUCCAGGAAAAGCCUCUAAGCAUCAGGUAACAUCAAAUCGUACCCCAAACCGACACAGGUGGUCAGGUAGAGAAUACCAAGGCGCUUGAGAGAACUCGGGUGAAGGAACUAGGCAAAAUGGUGCCGUAACUUCGGGAGAAGGCACGCUGACACGUAGGUGAAGUGAUUUACUCAUGGAGCUGAAGUCAGUCGAAGAUACCAGCUGGCUGCAACUGUUUAUUAAAAACACAGCACUGUGCAAACACGAAAGUGGACGUAUACGGUGUGACGCCUGCCCGGUGCCGGAAGGUUAAUUGAUGGGGUCAGCGCAAGCGAAGCUCCUGAUCGAAGCCCCGGUAAACGGCGGCCGUAACUAUAACGGUCCUAAGGUAGCGAAAUUCCUUGUCGGGUAAGUUCCGACCUGCACGAAUGGCGUAAUGAUGGCCAGGCUGUCUCCACCCGAGACUCAGUGAAAUUGAACUCGCUGUGAAGAUGCAGUGUACCCGCGGCAAGACGGAAAGACCCCGUGAACCUUUACUAUAGCUUGACACUGAACAUUGAGCCUUGAUGUGUAGGAUAGGUGGGAGGCUUUGAAGCGUGGACGCCAGUCUGCGUGGAGCCGACCUUGAAAUACCACCCUUUAAUGUUUGAUGUUCUAACGUGGACCCGUAAUCCGGGUUGCGGACAGUGUCUGGUGGGUAGUUUGACUGGGGCGGUCUCCUCCUAAAGAGUAACGGAGGAGCACGAAGGUUGGCUAAUCCUGGUCGGACAUCAGGAGGUUAGUGCAAUGGCAUAAGCCAGCUUGACUGCGAGCGUGACGGCGCGAGCAGGUGCGAAAGCAGGUCAUAGUGAUCCGGUGGUUCUGAAUGGAAGGGCCAUCGCUCAACGGAUAAAAGGUACUCCGGGGAUAACAGGCUGAUACCGCCCAAGAGUUCAUAUCGACGGCGGUGUUUGGCACCUCGAUGUCGGCUCAUCACAUCCUGGGGCUGAAGUAGGUCCCAAGGGUAUGGCUGUUCGCCAUUUAAAGUGGUACGCGAGCUGGGUUUAGAACGUCGUGAGACAGUUCGGUCCCUAUCUGCCGUGGGCGCUGGAGAACUGAGGGGGGCUGCUCCUAGUACGAGAGGACCGGAGUGGACGCAUCACUGGUGUUCGGGUUGUCAUGCCAAUGGCACUGCCCGGUAGCUAAAUGCGGAAGAGA
rnacentral:rRNA from 1 species